GCUUUGAAGUGUGGACGCCAGUCUGCAUGGAGCCGGCCUUGAAAUACCACCCUUUAAUGUUUGAUGUUCUAACGUGGACCCGUGAUCCGGGUUGCGGACAGUGUCUGGUGGGUAGUUUGACUGGGGCGGUCUCCUCCUAAAGAGUAACGGAGGAGCACGAAGGUUGGCUAAUCCUGGUCGGACAUCAGGAGGUUAGUGCAAUGGCAUAAGCCAGCUUGACUGCGAGCGUGACGGCGCGAGCAGGUGCGAAAGCAGGUCAUAGUGAUCCGGUGGUUCUGAAUGGAAGGGCCAUCGCUCAACGGAUAAAAGGUACUCCGGGGAUAACAGGCUGAUACCGCCCAAGAGUUCAUAUCGACGGCGGUGUUUGGCACCUCGAUGUCGGCUCAUCACAUCCUGGGGCUGAAGUAGGUCCCAAGGGUAUGGCUGUUCGCCAUUUAAAGUGGUACGCGAGCUGGGUUUAGAACGUCGUGAGACAGUUCGGUCCCUAUCUGCCGUGGGCGCUGGAGAACUGAGGGGGGCUGCUCCUAGUACGAGAGGACCGGAGUGGACGCAUCACUGGUGUUCGGGUUGUCAUGCCAAUGGCACUGCCCGGUAGCUAAAUGCGGAAGAGAUAAGUGCUGAAAGCAUCUAAGCACGAAACUUGCCCCGAGAUGAGUUCUCCCUGAGACUUAAAGUCUCCUGAAGGAACGUUGAAGACGACGACGUUGAUAGGCCGGGUGUGUAAGCGCAGCGAUGCGUUGAGCUAACCGGUACUAAUGAACCGUGAGGCUUAACCUU
rnacentral:rRNA from 1 species